ensembl:lncRNA
AUGGAAAAGAGACGGAAAGAAACAACCAAGACAACCAAUCGAUUCCCUUAUGACUUACCUCACAGCAAAGGGGAACAUCUAGCCAAACUCAUUGGAAGGAAAGCUCUCACCCAUUGUAACCUUAAUGGAUUAGCAGUCAGUGCUCUGUUAGACACUGGUGCUCAAGUGAGUAUGAUUGAUAGAGACUGGAAGAGUAAAUAUCUACCUGACACUCCUGUUAGGGCACUCAGCGACAUUAUAGGUGAUGAAGACGAGUUAAGGGUGUAUGCAGUGAAUGGUGACGCCCUCCCUUUUGAUGGCUGGGUUGCCCUUACAGUCAAUUUGAUGGGGAAUGAGGACCCUAAUCUGUCAAUCACUGUGCCUUUUCUUGUCAGCAGUCUUGCUCUGGAGAGACCACUGUUGGGUUUCAACGUGCUGGAAGAGAUGAUACAAAAACAACCUGAAAAGCUGAUUUCAACCCUUGUCGUUCUACUCUGUAAUGCCUUGUGUAUACCAGCAGAGAAGGCAGAGCUAAUGGUGAGCUUCAUCCAAGCCAGCAAACCCUCUGUGCAGUGCGGCCUCCUACGGACAGGCAGACAGGACAUGGUUAUCCCAGCAGGUCAGGUAGCCUGGGUUAAGUGCCAAGUCCCUCCCCUCAUGAGUUCAUCAGACACAGUCUUCCUAUUUGAGCCUGAUGAUGAUAAUGUGCAGUUGACAGAACUGGACGUGGGUGAAGGUCUGUUGGAGGUACAAAAUCCAAGAAAACCUUAUGUAGCUGUACCUGUGGGUAACAACACUAAACAUGCAGUAACUCUUCCAAGAAAGACAGCACUUGGUGGCAUCCACUGUGUUGAAAAAGUGAUCGCAACAGACUCACCUGAAGCACCCGAGCCCACAGUGACUGUUAACAGUGCCGUAUCAACACCUGUUGACGCCCAUCCAUCAUCAUGGCAACCUCCCAUCAACCUCAGUCACCUUGAUGAUAAACAAAGGGAAAAAGUCAACAAAAUGCUGUGUGAAGAAGCCGGGGCUUUCGCACGUGACUGCGAUGAUAUUGGAUGCAUACCAAGCUUACAAAUGUCGAUUACCCUCACAGAUGAGAUUCCUGUACAGAGAGCAUACUCAGCAGUCCCGAAGCCACUGUUUAAAGAGGUAAAGGAGUACGUGCAGGAGCUGCUGAUGAGAGGCUGGAUUGUUAAAUCUAAGUCCCCUUAUGCUGCCCCAGUUGUCUGUGUUAGGAAGAAGGAUGGCAGCCUACGUCUUUGUAUCGAUUAUCGGCUACUGAACAAAAAGACUGUGCCUGAUCGACAUCCACUACCCAGAAUACAAGACCUGACAGACACACUGGGGGGCUACACCUGGUUUAGCAUCCUAGACCAGGGUAAAGCUUACCAUCAGGGUUUCAUCGCCGAGGGUUCACGUCACCUGACUGCCUUCGUCACCCCGUGGGGCCUCUACGAAUGGGUCCGUAUCCCAUUCGGACUCUCAAAUGCCCCAGCAGCAUUUCAGCGGAGCAUGGAGGAGGUGCUAGGCCCCCUCAGGGAUGAAUGCUGCAUCCCUUAUCUGGAUGACGUGCUCUGUUACGCGAGAACAUUCGAUGAACAUGUGGAGGCCCUCCGCAAAGUGCUCCAGGCUCUUCAACAUCACGGAGUAAAACUGAGACCUGAAAAGUGUGAGCUUUUCAGACACGAAUUCAGAUACGUGGGGCGCCUUGUGUCAGCUGAUGGUAUCAAGAUAGAUCCACGGGACCUUGAAGCAGUCAAAACCUUGACAAGCAAGACACCACAGACAGUUGGCGAAGUAAGGAAACUGACCGGCUUCUUGGGAUAUUAUCGCUCCUACAUCCAGGAUUUUCCAGGAUCGCGAAGCCAAUCUAUGAGCUUCUCCAAACUAAAUCGGGGAAAGCCCAGAUUUCAACAUGUGGGAAAACCACCAAACGCCCACAGCUGCCUUCACGACAGCCUGUUGACUGGACCACUCAACAUCAGGAAGCUUUAG